rnacentral:rRNA from 1 species
AGAGUUGAUCAUGGCUCAGGAUGAACGCUAGCUACAGGCUAACACAUGCUAGUCGAGGGGCAGCAUAUCGAAAGCUUGCUUUGAUGAUGGCGACCGGCGCACGGGUGAGUAACGCGUAUCCAACCUUCCCUAUACUAGAGGAUAGCCCGGCGAAAGUCGGAUUAAUACUCUAUGUUCUUCGUAGAAGACAUCUGAAAUGAAGCAAAGGUUUACCGGUAUAGGAUGGGGAUGCGUCUGAUUAGGUUGUUGGCGGGGUAACGGCCCACCAAGCCCACGAUCAGUAGGGGUUCUGAGAGGAAGGUCCCCCACAUUGGAACUGAGACACGGUCCAAACUCCUACGGGAGGCAGCAGUGAGGAAUAUUGGUCAAUGGACGAGAGUCUGAACCAGCCAAGUAGCGUGCAGGAUGACGGCCCUAUGGGUUGUAAACUGCUUUUAUACAGGGAUAAAGUGCACUACGUGUAGUGUUUUGUAGGUACUGUAUGAAUAAGGACCGGCUAAUUCCGUGCCAGCCGCCGC